rnacentral:rRNA from 1 species
GACGGUCUUGCUGUCACUUAUAGAUGGAUCCGCGCUGCAUUAGCUAGUUGGUAAGGUAACGGCUUACCAAGGCAACGAUGCAUAGCCGACCUGAGAGGGUGAUCGGCCACACUGGAACUGAGACACGGUCCAGACUCCUACGGGAGGCAGCAGUAGGGAAUCUUCCGCAAUGGGCGAAAGCCUGACGGAGCAACGCCGCGUGAGUGAUGAAGGUCUUCGGAUCGUAAAACUCUGUUAUUAGGGAAGAACAUAUGUGUAAGUAACUGUGCACAUCUUGACGGUACCUAAUCAGAAAGCCACGGCUAACUACGUGCCAGCAGCCGCGGUAAUACGUAGGUGGCAAGCGUUAUCCGGAAUUAUUGGGCGUAAAGCGCGCGUAGGCGGUUUUUUAAGUCUGAUGUGAAAGCCCACGGCUCAACCGUGGAGGGUCAUUGGAAACUGGAAAACUUGAGUGCAGAAGAGGAAAGUGGAAUUCCAUGUGUAGCGGUGAAAUGCGCAGAGAUAUGGAGGAACACCAGUGGCGAAGGCGACUUUCUGGUCUGUAACUGACGCUGAUGUGCGAAAGCGUGGGGAUCAAACA